UUUCGACCGAUUGCAUUUGGCAUUCACAAAUCAAAAAAAUCGUCACAAUUCUACUUUGCUCCAUCGCAGUUGUCCCAAUCACAAAACAAAAUCACAAGAAUCUCAAUCACCAUAGGAAUCAGAAUCAUCAAUCACAUGUGGACAAAAUACAUGGGAGAAAGAGGACUGCUGGCAAUGGAUCUGAGCUCGUUGUCAACGCAUGUGGAUGCAGGCGGCGACGACUUGGGCGCAGAGGAGACGAAGAAACAGCGGUCGACGUACGUGGAUGGAGGCAGCGGAUCUGGCGUCAAGAAGGGUGGCGACCGGCGAAGGAGCUCGGACGGUGAAGGUGGUUGUGAAGGAGGCAGCGGUCGGAGCCUGGGGUUUCUAGAUCCGGUGGUCCCCAACCACCUGGAGACCGGAUCUGGCGCCCACCACCUCUAA
rnacentral:lncRNA from 1 species